rnacentral:rRNA from 1 species
CCUACGGGAGGCAGCAGUGGGGAAUUUUGGACAAUGGGCGCAAGCCUGAUCCAGCCAUGCCGCGUGUGUGAAGAAGGCCUUCGGGUUGUAAAGCACUUUCGGCCGGAACGAAAUCGCGCGGGCUAUUACCCCGCGUGGAUGACGGUACCGGAAGAAGAAGCACCGGCUAACUACGUGCCAGCAGCCGCGGUAAUACGUAGGGUGCGAGCGUUAAUCGGAAUUACUGGGCGUAAAGGGUGCGCAGGCGGCGUCGCAAGUCAGGCGUGAAAUCCCCGGGCUUAACCUGGGAAUUGCACUUGAAACUACGAUGCUGGAGUAUGGCAGAGGGAGGUGGAAUUCCACGUGUAGCGGUGAAAUGCGUAGAGAUGUGGAGGAACACCGAUGGCGAAGGCAGCCUCCUGGGCCAAUACUGACGCUCAUGCACGAAAGCGUGGGGAGCAAACAGGAUUAGAUACCCUGGUAGUCCACGCCCUAAACGAUGACGACUAGUUGUUGGAGGAGUUAAAUCCUUUAGUAACGCAGCUAACGCGAGAAGUCAUCCGCCUGGGGAGUACGGUCGCAAGAUUAAAACUCAAAGGAAUUGACGG